rnacentral:rRNA from 1 species
UACGUAGGGUGCGAGCGUUGUCCGGAAUUAUUGGGCGUAAAGAGCUCGUAGGCGGUUUGUCGCGUCGGCCGUGAAAUCUCCACGCUUAACGUGGAGCGUGCGGUCGAUACGGGCAGACUUGAGUUCGGUAGGGGAGACUGGAAUUCCUGGUGUAGCGGUGAAAUGCGCAGAUAUCAGGAGGAACGACCGGUGGCGAAGGCGGGUCUCUGGGCCGAUACUGACGCUGAGGAGCGAAAGCGUGGGGAGCGAACAGG